UACGGAGGGAGCUAGCGUUGUUCGGAAUUACUGGGCGUAAAGCGUACGUAGGCGGUUACUCAAGUCAGAGGUGAAAGCCCGGGGCUCAACCCCGGAACUGCCUUUGAAACUAGGUAGCUAGAAUCUUGGAGAGGUCAGUGGAAUUCCGAGUGUAGAGGUGAAAUUCGUAGAUAUUCGGAAGAACACCAGUGGCGAAGGCGACUGACUGGACAAGCAUUGACGCUGAGGUACGAAAGCGUGGGGAGCAAACAGGAUUAGAAACCCGCGUAGUCC
rnacentral:rRNA from 1 species